ACCCAGUCCUGAUUGGGGCUAAUAGGGGUCAGUCGGGGAGGGACUGCAGGAGGGCUCCCUGGCAUGUCGGGACAUCCCACCCAGGCCCAAUCAGCCAGACCCCAGCAGCAACCUAACGUACCAGUUGGAGCGUCUACCCCCUGGUGGUCAGUGGGCGUUACAGCGACUGGUUGAAACACAGCAUAUUACGCUUUUAUUAUAUAGGAUUCUUAAAGUUUCUUAUUCAUUAAUUUUGAUAUGUUUUUCUUCCUAUAAUUUGGCUACACACUAAAAUAUAGGGUUUUGAGUUUAAUGUUUCAAAAAGUGAGGAUUGUUGGUUAUUUUUUUAAACUAUAAAUUGCAUAUAUUUAAAAUUACCCCUGUACUCAGAAGUGGUAAUUGACUAGAAUACACUUUCUAGUAAAAGGAAAUUAUGUAAAUCAUUACGAGAUCAAUCUGAAUUUAACCUAUAAUGGUAAUGCCAGAUAAUAGCCAGUGUCUCCUGCCCAUUCUCUAGAUGAAAUAAAAUUACUGGCUGAUAUAAAUUUCAUUUUUUGUCUGUGGUUUAGCUAUGAUACUGGUUACCCAUGCUCGUGAAGUCCUUCCUGGCUCUCACAUCAGAGAGGCAGUUUGUAAGACAUUUUAAAAAUAUUUCCAGACAUGCAAACAUCUGGGCAGGUUUGAGUCAUGAUUGGCUCAGGCACACUCCCAGGUGAUGUUUUGUUGUUUGGAGAAAACUUCCAAUACAAUUGUAGCUGGACUUGGGGACUGUGCCUAGAAGCAUGUAUUACUGGCUCUAGGCCAUGCAAUGAGACAUUGCCCCAGGGUGUCAGCAGUCCUUACAACCCAUAGACAAAAAAUUAAAAUGGAGAGAGAGUCAAUGGGAACUGCACCUCUCAUCACAAUGGUCAAGGCAUCACUCUGAGUUCUUAUAUCCAAGCCCUCAGUGACUGAGCUCAGGAAGCUCCUAUGAGAGGCAUGAUGGGCAAUGUGGCAAAACACCCAGUAUACACCCUAACACAUCAUCUUCCCUAUGGUAGUGGUUCAGGAAGUGCAGCCUCAGAAAGAUCUUGAAUUUUGCAAUUAUUCCUUGAGAUGGUUCCAACCUCAUUCGGGAGGAUUUGUUGUGGCUUCCAGUAUUGUGUUACCAUUUUCAGUGGGAUCAUUCUGAAAGAGGACUGGAGCUGGGGGUUGGGGUGGGAGGGCAGGCAUGGGGAAGUAAGAAAGUGAUUUCUUUGCAGAUUGUAAAGCCUAAUGCCUGCAGUCUUUUGUUGUUGAGGACUGUGGAAUACGUGGGUGACUUUGGCUGGCAGAGUGUGUGAGUCAGGAUUUCUAUAUGAAUGAGCUCUUGGGUGUCAAAUGGAUUUGAUAAGUAUGCAGUGUGUGACUAAGGGUUAAGGGGAAACACAAAAGGGAAGAUCAGAGGACAGUAAAAAAUAGAGAGGAUGGGUAUGUGAAAAACCAUUAGGCAAAAAAACCCAAGAAAUAUAUGAACACUGGAGGAAGUUAGACAGGGAUCAGUUACCCUAUAGAAUAGCCUAUUAUUGAUUCAGGAAGAAUUGGGACAAGCUGUACAUGAUUUCUGUUUUCUACUGCUGGUUCUUUGUGCUUUUUGAACAAACGUUUUGUUUUACUGUGAAUCUCAUGUCAUUUUGUGGUUUGUGUUGAGGCCAGCUUACCAGUGGUGUAAGUUGCAUGUUCUAAAGGUUUAUAAGUUGUCAGGUUUUCGCCUGCUUGAGGGCCCUCCUUGAACGAUGUCGAGGCAAUCAGGGAAUGAUCUGCUCGGCUGAGUGAAUAGGUUUGAGCUAUUUGUUUUU